CAUCUGCUUAGCGAGGCUUUCGGAGGAGUCAAGGGAUUCCUUGAUCGCGUUAGGCAAAAGUUUCAAAAAUUUUCAGAGGCUGAUCCAAAUUUGCAGCCCCUCAGGGGUGAAGACAGAGAGAAAACUUCAAUCCCUCACUUCCAUUUCUUUUGGAGGGAAGAGGAAUGACACUUCUGCAGGCAAAACUACAGUGAUCAAGCAACUUAAUUUCCAGUUUUGACCGAAGUGUUGUCACUAGUAGAAGAAAGAUGAAAAAACCUUCUAAAGACACAGAACAGUCCUCCUGAAAAACUUUGGAUUAUGUCUCUGCAGUAUAGAUUGACCAAGCAUAAAACUAGUGUGCACUGAAA